UACGGAGGGUGCAAACGUUGCUCGGAAUCAUUGGGCGUAAAGCGAACGUAGGCGGCUAUGUAAGUCGGGUGUGAAAGCCCAGAGCUCAACUCUGGAAGUGCAUUCGAAACUGCAUGGCUUGAGUAGCGGAGAGGAUAGCGGAAUUCCCGGUGUAGAGGUGAAAUUCGUAGAUAUGUGGAGGAACACCUGUGGCGAAGGCGCCUUGCUGGCCGAUUUCUGACGCUGAGGCGCGAAAGCGUGGGGAGCAAACAGG
rnacentral:rRNA from 1 species